UACAGAGGGUGCGAGCGUUAAUCGGAAUUACUGGGCGUAAAGCGCGCGUAGGCGGCUUUGCAAGUCGGGUGUGAAAUCCCCGGGCUUAACCUGGGAACUGCAUUUGUGACUGCAAGGCUGGAGUGCGGCAGAGGGGGAUGGAAUUCCGCGUGUAGCAGUGAAAUGCGUAGAUAUGCGGAGGAACACCGAUGGCGAAGGCAAUCCCCUGGGCCUGCACUGACGCUCAUGCACGAAAGCGUGGGGAGCAAACAGG
rnacentral:rRNA from 1 species